UACGGAGGGGACUAGCGUUGUUCGGAAUUACUGGGCGGAAAGCGCACGUAGGCGGAUUUGUAAGUCAGGGGUGAAAUCCCGGGGCUCAACCCCGGAACUGCCUUUGAUACUGCGAAUCUCGAGUCCGGAAGAGGUGAGUGGAAUUCCUAGUGUAGAGGUGAAAUUCGUAGAUAUUAGGAAGAACACCAGUGGCGAAGGCGGCUCACUGGUCCGGUACUGACGCUGAGGUGCGAAAGCGUGGGGAGCAAACAGG
rnacentral:rRNA from 1 species